rnacentral:rRNA from 1 species
UACGUAGGGACCGAGCGUUGUCCGGAAUCAUUGGGCGUAAAGAGCGUGUAGGCGGCCACUUAAGUCCUGCGUGAAAUCCUGCGGCUCAACCGCAGGCGGUCGUGGGAAACUGGGUGGCUAGAGUGCGGGAGAGGAGAGUGGAAUUCCUGGUGUAGCGGUGGAAUGCGCAGAUAUCAGGAAGAACACCCGUGGCGAAGGCGGCUCUCUGGGACGGUACUGACGCUGAGACGCGAAAGCGUGGGGAGCGAACAGG